AUUGAACGCUGGCGGCAUGCCUUACACAUGCAAGUCGAACGGUAACAGAUCUUCGGAUGCUGACGAGUGGCGAACGGGUGAGUAAUACAUCGGAACGUGCCUAGUAGUGGGGGAUAACUACUCGAAAGAGUGGCUAAUACCGCAUGAGAUCUACGGAUGAAAGCAGGGGAUCGCAAGACCUUGUGCUACUAGAGCGGCCGAUGGCAGAUUAGGUAGUUGGUGGGAUAAAACCUUACCAAGCCGACGAUCUGUAGCUGGUCUGAGAGGACGAUCAGCCACGCUGGGACUGAGACACGGCCAAGACUCCUGCGGGAGGCGGCAGUGGGUAAUUUUGGACAAUGGGCGCAAGCCUGAUCCAGCAAUGCCGCGUGCAGGAUGAAGGCCUUCGGGUUGUAAACUGCUUUUGUACGGAACGAAAAGCCCUGGGUUAAUACCCUGGGGUCAUGACGGUACCGUAAGAAUAAGCACCGGCUAACUACGUGCCAGCCGCCGCCGUAACAC
rnacentral:rRNA from 1 species